GAUUAGAGACCCUGGUAGUCCAUGCCCUAAACGAUGUUCACUUGAUGUCUGCCCUCAGGGUAGGUGUCGAAGCUAACGCGAUAAGUGAACCACCUGGGGAGUACGCUCGCAAGGGUGAAACUCAAAGGAAUUGACGG
rnacentral:rRNA from 1 species